GAGGGUAUAGUUCAAGUGACAGAGCACAUGCUUGGCAUGCACGAGGGCCUGGGUUUGACCCCCAGUAUCCCCU
rnacentral:tRNA from 1 species